GCAAUUUUAAGAAGAUUUUGCAGCUUUUGGUUAUUAUCUUGAAUUGUAUCAAGAAAGAGAUAAACUGUAAACAGCAAUAAUGUACAGCAAAAUAAGAUCUAAAAAUAAGUCUACAUGAACAAAAUGGUCAAUUGACCCCUUAAGAAGUUUUUGCCUAAUAAAGUCAAUUUAUAUCAAUUUUACAAAAUAUUUUCCACUGCAACUACUGGGCCAAUUGCAAGUUAAUUGAAGAUAGAGAUAAUUGUAAGCAGCAAGCAUGUUCAGUUAAGUUAGACCUACAAACUCAUCACCAUCACCAAAACACAACCUUUGUCAAAGAACAUAUUUGUCCUUAGUUUAAUAUUCACAGUGACCAAGGUGAGCGACACAG
rnacentral:lncRNA from 1 species